AGCAGCCGCGGUAAUUCCACCUCCAAUAGCGUAUAUUAAAGUUGUUGCAGUUAAAAAGCUCGUAGUUGAAUUUCGGGGUCAGUGAGUUGGUCGUGCCACUGGUAUGCACUGGCUUUACUGAUUCCUCCUUCUUGAAGAACUGUAAUGCUAUUAAUUUAGUGUUGCAGGGAAACAGGACUGUUACUUUGAAAAAUUAGAGUGUUUAAAGCAGGCUAACGCUUGAAUACAUUAGCAUGGAAUAAUGAAAUAGGACGUUUGAUCCUAUUUUGUUGGUUUCUAGGAUUGACGUAAUGAUUAAUAGGGAUAGUUGGGGGCAUUAGUAUUCAAUUGUCAGAGGUGAAAUUCUUGGAUUUAUUGAAGACUGACUACUGCGAAAGCAUUUUCCAAGGAU
rnacentral:rRNA from 1 species